rnacentral:tRNA from 1 species
GCUAUUUUGGCAGAUUAAGUGUGUUAGAUUUAGAAUCUAAGUAUGUAAAAAUAUUACAGAUAGUA